CACGUAGGAGGCGAGCGUUUGUCCGGAAUCAUUGGGCGUAAAGAGCGCGCAGGCGGCUUGACAAGUCGGGUGUGAAAGUCCCGGGGCUCAACCCCGGGACUGCAUUCGAUACUGUCAGGCUAGAGGUAGGUAGGGGAGAGUCGGAAUUCCUGGUGUAGCGGUGAAAUGACGCAGAUAUCAGGAGGAACACCGGUGGCGAAGGCGGAUCUCUGGGCCAUUACUGACGCUGAGGAGCGAAAAGCGUGGGGAGCGAACAGG
rnacentral:rRNA from 1 species